rnacentral:lncRNA from 1 species
AGGGGCUGCCUGCAGUGUCAGAGCUUGGAGCUCACUGUCCCCUUUCUUGUCUCCCACAGGACUCACGGCAGCUUUAUUCUGAUUUCGUACUGCUGCUGGGGCUGCUGCCUCGUCCUCCAGACGCUCUCAGCAGACUUGAGUCCUGGUCCUUCGGCGGAGGCCUGAGCAGGAGGAAGAGGAGGAGGCCCAUUGGUGUCGGACCAAUGCUGCAAGGGGUGUGAGGAGAGGAGCUGCUGUUUUCACUGAGCUGCCAUACCCCAAAAGCUCCAGUUUGGGAAACAGCAAGCACAUCUUGCCUCAUGACUGUUCUGGGACUCUCCACCGCUCCCCUGAGGCAUCUUUAGGGACCUGUGUUGGAGCCCAGGGGAACAUCUCUGCUUCAUAACUUCUGUGGAUUGCUCCAGUGGUGCCACUUCCAUCUGGCCCACCCUCAGCCUCCUGCAAGAGUGUUAAAGCUAGAAGAUGCCUUAGGAAUCAUCUCACCCCAUCCCCACUUCAUCAAGGCCAGGGAGUCCAG